UGAAAGCUCCGGGCUCAACCCGGAGAGGCCGUACAAUACUGUUUGCCUAGAGGGGGUCAGAGGGGCGUGGAAUUUCCGGAGUAGCAGUAAAAUGCGCAGAUAUCGGAAGGAACACCAGUGGCGAAGGCGGCGUCCUAUGGACCACCUGACGCUGAGAGACGAAAGCUACGGGAGCGAACAGGAUUAGAGACCCUGGUAGUCCUAGCUGUAAACGCUGAAUGCUAGGUGUGGGAGCGGAGAGCUUCUGUGCCGGAGCGAACGCGAUAAGCAUUCCGCCUGGGGAGUACGGCCGCAAGGUUAAAACUCAAAGAAAUUGACGGGGACCCGCACAAGCGGAGGAGCAUGUGGCUCAAUUCGAUGCAACGCGAAGAACCUUACCAGGGCUUGACAUGCAGCUGCACGCCCACCGAAAGGUGGGAAGCCUUCGAAGGUGCUGCACAGGUGGUGCAUGGCUGUCGUCAGUUCGUGCCGUGAGGUGUUGGGUUAAGUCCCGCAACGAACGCAACCCCUGUGUUUAGUUGCCACCGCUGGUGAUGAGCCAACGAGCACUCUAGACAGACUGCCCGUACAAGCGGGAGGAAGGUGGGGAUGACGUCAAGUCAGUAUGUCCCUUAUGCCCUGGGCUGCACACGUGCUACAAUGGUCGGUACAAUGGGAAGCGGAGCCGCGAGGUGGAGCAAAUCCCCAAAGCCGGCCUCAGUUCAGAUUGCAGUCUG
rnacentral:rRNA from 1 species